CACAAUACACGCUGAUACAGAACGGAGGAGGCUAGAAAAUUAAAGAGUUGCGCAUCUUUGCUAUCUUCUUCACAAAAAACAUGCUACAAUACACAGCUAUAUACACGCCUAUACAGAACAAUUCACGACUGAUAUUAGGGGGGACACCAUCAUUUUUCUUCUUCUUAAAAAGAGAAGAACUCUUCAGCCAUGAGAGGAGUUUUAAGAUAGAGAAGAAGCAGCUAUAGAUCGACACCUUCAGUCAUAACACACAGAUCCUCUAAACCAAAAC
rnacentral:lncRNA from 1 species